GACGAACGCUGGCGGCGUGCUUAACACAUGCAAGUCGAACGGAAAGGCCCUGCUUUUGUGGGGUGCUCGAGUGGCGAACGGGUGAGUAACACGUGAGUAACCUGUCCUUGACUUUGGGAUAACUUCAGGAAACUGGGGCUAAUACCGGAUAGGAGCUCUUGCUGCAUGGUGGGGGUUGGAAAGUUUCGGCGGUUGGGGAUGGACUCGCGGCUUAUCAGCUUGUUGGUGGGGUAGUGGCUUACCAAGGCUUUGACGGGUAGCCGGCCUGAGAGGGUGACCGGCCACAUUGGGACUGAGAUACGGCCCAGACUCCUACGGGAGGCAGCGGUGGGGAAUAUUGCACAAUGGGAGGAGGCCUGAUGCAGCAACGCCGCGUGCGGGAUAACGGCCUUCGGGUUGUAAACCGCUUUCGCCUGUGACGAGGCGUGAGUGACGGUAAUGGGUAAAGAAGCACCGGCUAACUACGUG
rnacentral:rRNA from 1 species